UCUGUGAUGCCCUUAGAUGUUCUGGGCUGCACGCGCGCUACACUGAUACGUUCAUCGAGCUUACAACCUUGACUGGAAGGUCUGGGUAAUCUUCAAAUGCGUAUCGUGAUGGGGAUAGAUUAUUGUAAUUUUUGAUCUUCAACGAGGAAUUCCUAGUAAACGCGCGUCACUAACGCGCAUUGAUUACGUCCCUGCCCUUUGUACACACCGC
rnacentral:rRNA from 1 species